GGGAAAUUCAAAAUACUUGUUAGCAUUGUGGCUUCUUCUUGCUCCUGCCAUGUGCCAUGGUUUUAGGUCUUCUCAUUCAAACUGCAGAGCUUCUUUGCCAAGGUAUUCCACUGAGGCUUCCUGGUUUGAACCCUCUUCAUACCAUAAUGGAUACAGAUGUGCAAGGGACAAUCGGACAUCAGUAUCAUAAUGGAUUCCAUCUGAAGGCAAGGCAUGGAUGGAUUACUGCACAGGAAAAACCCAGAGAAAGAAGAGAGGCUGAUUAUUUUAGAUGAAAGUCGACCAUGCAGUCAACUUCCAUCAAGCGCCAGACAGUAGAGGAAACAGUGAGAUGUGACGGAAAGCACUCUGUUUGAAGAACAACAUAUUCCCCACGCAAGUUUACUUCUUCAGCUGCUGCGGCCUGGAUGGAGACACCAGCUCUCACCUUACAAACCAAACAGGUGUCACCACUUUGUCCAUGACAUCGUCCGUUGAGACGUCGUCCACGAUUGCAGAGACAUGGUCCAUGAUCAGAGAGACAUUGUUGAGGAUGAAGGAGACAUUGUCCAUGAUCAGAGACGUCAUCCAUGAUCACAGAGUCUUUGUACAAUGAAGAAGUUCUUUGAGGCCAGGACAGAGGCCUCCAGGUCUUCAGCUGCUGUCGUCUUCUCCUCCUGCAGAGACAAGAACCUGUGAAUCACAGAAACUGAUCAGUAUAUCUAUUUUUCCUUUCCCAGGCUUUUCACAUAUUGUUAAAAGAACUAUCUUAAAGCAGCCAUCUUAGCUUUGUUUUCCACAGACACAUAUUCAUACACUGACACCUCUACACAGUGUUAAUUAUUACAGUUACAAUUGUUUUCCUGUAUUUAUUACAUGGUAAGUGGUUCAUGCACAGUACUUAAAAAGGCAAAUGAACAUUUAAAUUUCAAACCUAUGAGAAACAGUUGACACAUUACUGUUCUAAGAAUGUUUUUUGAUGGUUUUUGACUCCUGAAGAUAAUAUGACAUUUUUUAGGCUUUUCACAUAAUGUUAAAGGAACUAUCUUAAAGCAGCCAUCUUACCUUUGUUUUCCACAGACACAUAUUCACACACUCACACCUCUACACAGUGUUUGGGAAUUAGGUUAGAUUUUGUGUUUGUCAUUUAAUUUUCAAAUACAAUCCAUUACUGUUA